AGAGUGAACGCUGGCGGCAGGCCUAACACAUGCAAGUCGAACGGCAGCACAGGGGAGCUUGCUCCCUGGGUGGCGAGUGGCGGACGGGUGAGGAAUGCGUCGGAAUCUGCCUUUUCGUGGGGGAUAACGUAGGGAAACUUACGCUAAUACCGCAUGCGACCCUGUUCCGGGAGGAUCAGGGUGAAAGCGGGGGACCUUCGGGCCUGCGCGGAAAGAUGAGCCGACGCCGGAUUAGCUAGGUUGGCGGGGUAACGGCCCACCAAGGCGACGAUCCGUAGCUGGUCUGAGAGGAUGAUCAGCCACACUGGAACUGAGACACGGUCCAGGACCUCCGUACGGGAGCAGCAGUGGGAAUAGUUGGACAAGUGGGCGCAAGGCCUAGACUCCGAGCCCAUCGCCGCGUGGAGU
rnacentral:rRNA from 1 species